CUCACAUUGUCUUUGAUCCCUGUGGUCUAAAUGGCUGCAUUUUAUAGACUCAGAGGCAUUUAGUGUCUGUUAAGAAAAAAGAUAAUAACCUCCAAAUUCCUAUUGCCUUUUCCCAAAUUAUUUACAGAUUUCAGUUACUAACUGAAAAGAGGGCCUUCAUUCAAAUAUGAAUAAAGGAAGUGAUGUGGCAUUUACUCAACAUUUCAUUUUUUCUUCUUGGUUCUUUUUACUUUCCAGCUGUUCAGUGUCUUUUCUCUUAUGCCCAGACUAUAUACCAGCCUUACCAGUCUUGGCAGAGGAGAGAUGUCUGUCCCAAGAGGAAUAUUGGACUCUCUCCUGUCAUUUGCAUACAAUUCACCUACCCUAAGCUCUGUUUCCAAAGAUACUGGCCUUUCCAUGCUGAAAUGAUGGAGAGUGAAAAUAAGAUAUCAAAUGUUGGCAGCUAUCAGUCUACCUGCAGGGCAGCUGCUGAGACUUUACUGCCUGUAUAUGGACCCUGACUAUCCUCCAGCUCAUAUCAGGACACUUGAGAAGGACCCAAGGAUCACCACUGGGCUCUAAGAAUGAAGGAGGUGAGGACUAAAGUGAAUGUUAUUCUGCAUCACAUGGAGCCCUUCCAAAAGACUGUUGCUGAUGUGUUAUUCAUUCAGAAACCUUGAUUCCUUCCACCUUGUUCAUAACUCCUCACAUCAGAUCAAUAAAAAAAUACCAUUGAUUCUAAUUAACA
rnacentral:lncRNA from 1 species